rnacentral:lncRNA from 1 species
ACGCUCCUCUACUUGCAGAUUUGUUUUUAUAUUCCUAUGAAGCGGAUUUUAGCCAAGGGCUUGUACAGAAAGGAGAACAGAAAUUAGCCCAGUCUUUUAAUUUCACCUUUAGGUAUAUUGAUGAUGUACUGUCUCUUAAUAAUAAUAGAUUCAGUGAUCACUUACAUUUAAUAUAUCCAAGUGAACUUGAAAUUAAAGAUACUACCGACACAGAUAAAUCUGCUUCAUAUUUAUACCUUUUUUUCUCGAAAUGACUACUGAUGGUAGGUUGAAUACCAAAAUUUAUGACAAACGCGAUGAUUUUAAUUUUCCUAUAGUCAACUUUCCAUUUCUGUGUAGCAACAUCCCAGCGGCACAUGCAUAUGGAGUAUAUGUGUCUUAAUUGAUACGUUACUCUUGAGCUAGAUCAAAGUACGUUGAUGUUUUUGAAAGAGGAAUACUACUUUCUCAAAAGUUGCUAAGACAGGGCUAUUAAUCAAUCAAAUUAAGGUCAUCACUCAAGAAAUUUUACGGUCGCCAUCAUGAGCUGAUUGG